rnacentral:tRNA from 1 species
UGGGGUGUGGCCAAGUGGUAAGGCAUCGGGCUUUGGUCCCGAUAUUCAGAGGUUCGAGCCCUCUCACCCCAG